rnacentral:rRNA from 1 species
UCUAGAAGCUUCGGCAAUGGGGGAAACCCUGACCGAGCGACGCCGCGUGUGGGACGAAGCCUUUUGGGGUGUAAACCACUUUCGACUGGGAAGAAAACCUGAUUCUUUCAGGCUUGACGGUACCAGCAGAAGAAGCACCGGCUAACUCCGUGCCAGCAGCCGCGGUAAUACGGGGGGUGCAAGCGUUAUUCGGAUUUAUUGGGCGUAAAGGGCGCGUAGGCGGCCAUGUAAGUCUGAUGUGAAAACUCCACCGCUCAACGGGGAGACUGCAUUGGAAACUGCAUAGCUUGAGUGCAUGAGAGGUCAGUAGAAUACCUGGUGUAGCGGUGGAAUGCGUAGAUAUCAGGUAGAAUACCAGUGGCGAAGGCGACUGGCUGGCAUGUCACUGACGCUGAGGUGCGAAAGCGUGGGUAGCGAACGGGAUUAGAUACCCCCGUAGUCC